UGAGUCGGCCGGGCGACCGCGUGCAGCGCAAGCUGUGGGAGGAAAGUCCGGGCUCCGCAGGGCAAAGCGCCAGGUAACGCCUGGGAGGUGAAAGCCUACGGAAAGUGCAACAGAAAGGAAACCGCCUAAGCAGCGUGCUGCCGGUAAGGUUGAAAAGGUGCGGUAAGAGCGCACCGCGUGACUGGCAACAGUUCACGGCGAUGGUAAACCCCGCUUGGAGCAAGGCCAAAUAGGAAUCCAAUGCUGUGGCCCGCAGUGGAUUCGGGUAGGCCGCUAGAGGUUUGUGGUGACGCAAAUCGCAGAUGAAUGGUCGUCCAAGACAGAACCCGGCUUAUAGGCCGACUCAUUUU
rnacentral:RNase_P_RNA from 2 species